CGGCCGUUUUCAAUAACCUAUCUAUCCCUAGUUUCGGUUACUAAAGAUAGACAAAUCUAUAUUUUUGUCCUUACUUACGUUCCAAUAACCUAUCGACGGGCAGCAGUUCCUAUCGGAUUUAUCUAUCCAUCGUCGGGAGGACGGAUAGCCUGCUAAAGAUAGAACGUUCAUACAAAUCGUGCUUACUUCCGUUUCAAUAUGAGUUUUAAGUAACUCUCCGGUAGGCGGCGCUAUCUCUAGUAUGGGCAUUCGCUUAUCUGUCAAAAUCGGCCGGUUACAUGUUUAUCUUUCGAAAGUAAAUCGCUAUAAUUUAAUAAUUGUUUCUCUUCAUAUUGGCAUAUUGUAGCAGUGAUGAUAGUGAUAUGGAAUUAUUUCAAAUGAUAAUGGAUUGUGAUGCAGAUAGUGAUAGUGAGGCCGAUAUCAUAUGGUUAGGAAAAUAAAGAUCGUCUGAAUUACAUGGCGAAGAUCAAUAAUUACGAAUUUGACUAUAGAUUUCUGAGCAAAGGUGUUGUGAAUGAAUUGAUUAAUUUAAUGAGACCAUAUUUGAGUGUAACGUCAAAAAGAUUCAAAUAUAGGAGAGGAAUUUAGAAAUAGAAAAAGAGUAUUUUGAAUGUGCAAUUUGUGUGCAAUGCAUCAUUGAUGUUUCAAAAUGUUGUUGCUUGAUGGCCUGGGUCUACUCAUGAUACAACUAUAAUUAACCAUUCCGAUUGAAAAGAUGCAUUGGUGUUUGUAAAAGAAGACUCCCUGUAUAUCAUUGAAAAGUAGAUUAAAACUAGAAAAUAUGCAAGCUGUUAUUAUAGCUGCCAUGCUGCAUAAUAUCGUCAGAAGUAUGAAUUUAGAAGAAUUAGAAUUAGAAAUUUCAGUCGCAGAUACAUUACAGGAAAAUAAUAUAAUUGUUCGUAACAAUUUUUCAAAACUUACAUCUGAAAUACAACUAUGUACUUAUAAAUAAUUGCUUCCAAAGAUAAUUUAUAAAAUAAACUCCAAAGAUAA